CAUGCAAGUCGAGGGGCAGCAUGGUCUUAGCUUGCUAAGGCCGAUGGCGACCGGCGCACGGGUGAGUAACACGUAUCCAACCUGCCGUCUACUCUUGGACAGCCUUCUGAAAGGAAGAUUAAUACAAGAUGGCAUCAUGAGUCCGCAUGUUCACAUGAUUAAAGGUAUUCCGGUAGACGAUGGGGAUGCGUUCCAUUAGAUAGUAGGCGGGGUAACGGCCCACCUAGUCUUCGAUGGAUAGGGGUUCUGAGAGGAAGGUCCCCCACAUUGGAACUGAGACACGGUCCAAACUCCUACGGGAGGCAGCAGUGAGGAAUAUUGGUCAAUGGGCGAGAGCCUGAACCAGCCAAGUAGCGUGAAGGAUGACUGCCCUAUGGGUUGUAAACUUCUUUUAUAAAGGAAUAAAGUCGGGUAUGGAUACCCGUUUGCAUGUACUUUAUGAAUAAGGAUCGGCUAACUCCGUGCCAGCAGCCGCGGUAAUACGGAGGAUCCGAGCGUUAUCCGGAUUUAUUGGGUUUAAAGGGAGCGUAGAUGGAUGUUUAAGUCAGUUGUGAAAGUUUGCGGCUCAACCGUAAAAUUGCAGUUGAUACUGGAUAUCUUGAGUGCAGUUAAGGCAGGCGGAAUUCGUGGUGUAGCGGUGAAAUGCUUAGAUAUCACGAAGACUCCGAUUGCGAAGGCAGC
rnacentral:rRNA from 1 species